AAUUAUUCAGUUUAUUUUUAAAAAAACAACACAUAAGCCAGAAUUUUUUCAUACGUGAAUGUCAGGCUGAAUAAAUUUCAUUUAAUUGAUAUUAUGUAGAUAUUCCAAUAUAUUAUGUAAAUUUUAACCAGAUCUGUAAUUUGACAUAUGAUGCUUUUCCUGUUCUACCUCUUCUAAAAACUGAAAUUCAGCUCUGCUUCAUAACCAACAGUAUUAUUCAAACUGUUGUAAUAGAUACAUCCAAUGAGAUAAUACCCUGUUCAGGGUGUGUAUUAAUUCUACUUUGAGCUUUCCACUCAUGUUACAGUUUCACUCACAAAUUGACUUCCGUGGACCUUACAUCAUACUGAAGUGGUUAGUACGAGGGGGCGUGCAUAAGUGCACUAAGGUGACUAUCGUCCCUGUCAUUGUAUUUUUACUCUUCUUCUCAUUUUUGUUGGGCAAAUUCCAAUAAAUAAAUAAAUACAUAAAACAAUUCCAGUAGCGUAGAAAUUUUGGGGUGAAAGGACCACUGCUAUUAUGCUGGUAGGAGUGACAAUAUGAGAACCACCACGUUCAACUCUUUGUAACCUCCUCUUCUCUAAGUUGUACUCAUAACUCCUGUUAUCUGUUUGAUCCAGGAUUUGCUAUCUCAUAUGCUACAUGUCGAUCCACAUCAAAGAUAUACCGCCGAGCAAGUUCUCAAACAUUCAUGGAUAGCCUGUAGAGAUCAGCUGCCACAUUAUCAGUUAAAUAGGCAAGACGCACCACAUCUAGUGAAGGGGGCCAUGGCUGCUACAUAUUCUGCACUGAACAACAAGACAUUUCAGCCUAUUUUGGAACCAGUUGCAGCGUCAGGCUUGGCUCAGCGUAGAAGCAUGAAAAAACUCACAUCCACAGACUUAUAGGUCAGCUGGAACACAGAAAAGCAAAAACAAAACCCAGGAAACAGCUCUGUAUUUGCCUGCCCUGUGAAUUUAAAGGCAUCUACCAGUUCCUCCUACACUACUUGAAUUCAGUUGAAGAAAGGAAGGGAAAAAAAAAAC